GAUGAACGCUGACAGAAUGCUUAACACAUGCAAGUCAACUGUGGCGGACGGGUGAGUAACGCGUAAAGAACUUGCCUCCCAGUUAGGGACAACAUUUGGAAACGAAUGCUAAUACCUGAUACUGUGAGAGCGUGUUGCGUCCCAUUAGCUAGUUGGAGAGGUAACGGCUCACCAAGGCGAUGAUGGGUAGCCGGCCUGAGAGGGUGAUCGCCCACAAGGGGACUGAGACACAGCCCUUACUCCUACGGGAGGCAGGAGUGGGGAAUAUUGGACAAGGGACCAAAGUCUGAUCCAGCAAUUCUGUGUGCACGAUGAAGUUUUCGGAAUGUAAAGUGCUUUCAGUUGGGAAGCGGUACCAACCGGAGAAGUGACGGCUAAAUACGUGCCAGCAGCCGCGGUAAUUC
rnacentral:rRNA from 1 species